rnacentral:rRNA from 1 species
UACGGGGGGGCAAGCGUUGUUCGGAAUUACUGGGCGUAAAGGGCUCGUAGGUGGCCAACUAAGUCGGACGUGAAAUCCCUCGGCUUAACCGGGGAACUGCGUCCGAUACUGGAUGGCUUGAGUUUGGGAGAGGGAUGCGGAAUUCCAGGUGUAGCGGUGAAAUGCGUAGAUAUCUGGAGGAACACCGGUGGCGAAGGCGGCAUCCUGGACCAACACUGACACUGAGGAGCGAAAGCCAGGGGAGCAAACAGG